rnacentral:rRNA from 1 species
AGCAGCCGCGGUAAUUCCAGCUCCAAUAGCGUAUAUUAAAGUUGUUGCAGUUAAAAAGCUCGUAGUUGAAUUUCGGAAUCAAUAUAUUGGUCGUGCCUUGGUACGUACUGGUAUCAUUGGUUUCUCCUUUCUGACGAACCAUGAUGUCAUUAAUUUGGUGUUAUGGGAAGUUAGGACUGUUACUUUGAAAAAAUUAGAGUGUUUAAAGCAGGCUUUAGCUUGAAUACAUUAGCAUGGAAUAAUGAAAUAGGACGUUCGAACCUAUUUUGUUGGUUUCUAGGAUCAACGUAAUGAUUAAUAGGGAUAGUUGGGGGCAUUAGUAUUCAAUUGUCAGAGGUGAAAUUCUUGGAUUUAUUGAAGACUAACUACUGCGAAAGCAUUUGCCAAGGAUGUUUUCAUUAAUCAAGAACGAAAGUUAGGGGAUCGAAGACGAUCAGAUACCGUCGUAGUCUUAACCAUAAACUAUGCCGACUAGGGAUCGGAUGAUGUUAAUUUUUUAUGACUCAUUCGGCGCCUUACG